GACAGAGGGUGCAAACGUUGUUCGGAAUUACUGGGCGUAAAGCGCGUGUAGGCGGCCAUCUAAGUCGGGCGUGAAAUCCCACGGCUCAACCGUGGAAGUGCACUCGAAACUGGAUGGCUAGAGUCCUGGAGAGGAAGGUGGAAUGCUUGGUGUAGAGGUGAAAUUCGUAGAUAUCAAGCGGAACACCGGUGGCGAAGGCGGCCUUCUGGACAGUGACUGACGCUGAGACGGCGAAAAGCGUGGGGAGCAAACAGGG
rnacentral:rRNA from 1 species